rnacentral:tRNA from 1 species
GUCCCUGUAGUUCAAUGGAUAGAGCAUUGGCCUCCGAAGCCAAAGAUGUUGGUUCGAAUCCAAUCGGGGAUA